AGAGUUUGAUCCUGGCUCAGAUUGAACGCUGGCGGCAGGCCUAACACAUGCAAGUCGAGCGGUAGAGAGAAGCUUGCUUCUCUCGAGAGCGGCGGACGGGUGAGUAAUGCCUAGGAAUCUGCCUGGUAGUGGGGGAUAACGUUCGGAAACGGACGCUAAUACCGCAUACGUCCUACGGGAGAAAGCAGGGGACCUUCGGGCCUUGCGCUAUCAGAUGAGCCUAGGUCGGAUUAGCUAGUUGGUGAGGUAAUGGCUCACCAAGGCGACGAUCCGUAACUGGUCUGAGAGGAUGAUCAGUCACACUGGAACUGAGACACGGUCCAGACUCCUACGGGAGGCAGCAGUGGGGAAUAUUGGACAAUGGGCGAAAGCCUGAUCCAGCCAUGCCGCGUGUGUGAAGAAGGUCUUCGGAUUGUAAAGCACUUUAAGUUGGGAGGAAGGGUUGUAGAUUAAUACUCUGCAAUUUUGACGUUACCGACAGAAUAAGCACCGGCUAACUCUGUGCCAGCAGCCGCGGUAAUACAGAGGGUGCAAGCGUUAAUCGGAAUUACUGGGCGUAAAGCGCGCGUAGGUGGUUUGUUAAGUUGGAUGUGAAAUCCCCGGGCUCAACCUGGGAACUGCAUUCAAAACUGACUGACUAGAGUAUGGUAGAGGGUGGUGGAAUUUCCUGUGUAGCGGUGAAAUGCGUAGAUAUAGGAAGGAACACCAGUGGCGAAGGCGACCACCUGGACUAAUACUGACACUGAGGUGCGAAAGCGUGGGGAGCAAACAGGAUUAGAUACCCUGGUAGUCC
rnacentral:rRNA from 1 species